rnacentral:lncRNA from 1 species
CCACCGACGAAGACUACGCCAGAGAAUCCAGCAGCUUAAAAACGAUGAAAUAAACUCCAAUAGAACAUGAAGAAACUGUUAAUGGAGCAGUAAAGAGCAAGGAGGACAUUUGUGACACUUAACUGAUGUUUGUAUAAUUUACGAGUACCUUGUAUAUGAAUAGCCUACGAGUACCUUGUAUAGGAAGCAGUAUAAUAGAAGAGGUAAAUUUGUACACAGACAUCUCAUGGGUUACAUGCUUCAGUUUUUGACUUUGCUCAACCCAUUUGCUUGUAGGAUAAAAAAAAAAAACAAAAAUACUGAGCGCCUGAGUGUGAAAUUUGUG